rnacentral:tRNA from 1 species
GGGUGAUUGGCGCAGUUGGUUAGCGCACUUCGUUUACACCGAAGGGGUCAGGAGUUCGAGUCUCUUAUCACCCA